AGCGUACACGGUGGAUGCCCUGGCAGUCAGAGGCGAUGAAGGACGUGCUAAUCUGCGAAAAGCGCCGGCGAGGUGAUAUGAACCUUUGACCCGGCGAUGUCCGAAUGGGGAAACCCAGUGCAAUCCGUUGCACUAUCGUUAACUGAAUACAUAGGUUAACGAGGCGAACCGGGGGAACUGAAACAUCUAAGUACCCCGAGGAAAAGAAAUCAACCGAGAUUCCCCCAGUAGCGGCGAGCGAACGGGGAGCAGCCCGGAGUCUGAAUCAGCUUGUGUGUUAGUGGAACGGUCUGGAAAGUCCGACGGUACAGGGUGAUAGUCCCGUACACGAAAGCACACAUGCUGUGAACUCGAAGAGUAGGGCGGGACACGUGGUAUCCUGUCUGAAUAUGGGGGGACCAUCCUCCAAGGCUAAAUACUCCUGACUGACCGAUAGUGAACCAGUACCGUGAGGGAAAGGCGAAAAGAACCCCGGCGAGGGGAGUGAAAAAGAACCUGAAACCGUGUACGUACAAGCAGUGGGAGCCUCUUUAUGGGGUGACUGCGUACCUUUUGUAUAAUGGGUCAGCGACUUAUAUUCUGUAGCAAGGUUAACCGUAUAGGGGAGCCGAAGGGAAACCGAGUCUUAACUGGGCGUUAAGUUGCAGGGUAUAGACCCGAAACCCGGUGAUCUAGCCAUGGGCAGGUUGAAGGUUGGGUAACACUAACUGGAGGACCGAACCGACUAAUGUUGAAAAAUUAGCGGAUGACCUGUGGCUGGGGGUGAAAGGCCAAUCAAACCGGGAGAUAGCUGGUUCUCCCCGAAAGCUAUUUAGGUAGCGCCUCGUGAACUCAUCUUCGGGGGUAGAGCACUGUUUCGGCUAGGGGGCCAUCCCGGCUUACCAACCCGAUGCAAACUACGAAUACCGAAGAAUGUUAUCACGGGAGACACACGGCGGGUGCUAACGUCCGUCGUGAAGAGGGAAACAACCCAGACCGCCAGCUAAGGUCCCAAAGUCAUGGUUAAGUGGGAAACGAUGUGGGAAGGCACAGACAGCCAGGAUGUUGGCUUAGAAGCAGCCAUCAUUUAAAGAAAGCGUAAUAGCUCACUGGUCGAGUCGGCCUGCGCGGAAGAUGUAACGGGGCUAAACCAUGCACCGAAGCUGCGGCAGCGACACUAUGUGUUGUUGGGUAGGGGAGCGUUCUGUAAGCCGUUGAAGGUGUCCUGUGAGGGGUGCUGGAGGUAUCAGAAGUGCGAAUGCUGACAUAAGUAACGAUAAAGCGGGUGAAAAGCCCGCUCGCCGGAAGACCAAGGGUUCCUGUCCAACGUUAAUCGGGGCAGGGUGAGUCGACCCCUAAGGCGAGGCCGAAAGGCGUAGUCGAUGGGAAACAGGUUAAUAUUCCUGUACUUGGUGUUACUGCGAAGGGGGGACGGAGAAGGCUAUGUCAGCCGGGCGACGGUUGUCCCGGUUUAAGCAUGUAGGCGGAGGUUCCAGGUAAAUCCGGUACCUUAUUAACGCUGAGGUGUGAUGACGAGGCACUACGGUGCUGAAGUGAUAAAUGCCCUGCUUCCAGGAAAAGCCUCUAAGCAUCAGGUAACACGAAAUCGUACCCCAAACCGACACAGGUGGUCAGGUAGAGAAUACCAAGGCGCUUGAGAGAACUCGGGUGAAGGAACUAGGCAAAAUGGUGCCGUAACUUCGGGAGAAGGCACGCUGAUAUGUAGGUGAAGUCCCUGCGGACGGAGCUGAAAUCAGUCGAAGAUACCAGCUGGCUGCAACUGUUUAUUAAAAACACAGCACUGUGCAAACACGAAAGUGGACGUAUACGGUGUGACGCCUGCCCGGUGCCGGAAGGUUAAUUGAUGGGGUUAGCGGCAACGCGAAGCUCUUGAUCGAAGCCCCGGUAAACGGCGGCCGUAACUAUAACGGUCCUAAGGUAGCGAAAUUCCUUGUCGGGUAAGUUCCGACCUGCACGAAUGGCGUAAUGAUGGCCAGGCUGUCUCCACCCGAGACUCAGUGAAAUUGAACUCGCUGUGAAGAUGCAGUGUACCCGCGGCAAGACGGAAAGACCCCGUGAACCUUUACUAUAGCUUGACACUGAACACUGGUCCUUGAUGUGUAGGAUAGGUGGGAGGCUUUGAAGCGUGGACGCCAGUCUGCGUGGAGCCAACCUUGAAAUACCACCCUUUAAUGGCUGGUGUUCUAACGUAGACCCGUAAUCCGGGUUGCGGACAGUGUCUGGUGGGUAGUUUGACUGGGGCGGUCUCCUCCCAAAGAGUAACGGAGGAGCACGAAGGUUGGCUAAUCCUGGUCGGACAUCAGGAGGUUAGUGCAAUGGCAUAAGCCAGCUUGACUGCGAGCGUGACGGCGCGAGCAGGUGCGAAAGCAGGUCAUAGUGAUCCGGUGGUUCUGAAUGGAAGGGCCAUCGCUCAACGGAUAAAAGGUACUCCGGGGAUAACAGGCUGAUACCGCCCAAGAGUUCAUAUCGACGGCGGUGUUUGGCACCUCGAUGUCGGCUCAUCACAUCCUGGGGCUGAAGUAGGUCCCAAGGGUAUGGCUGUUCGCCAUUUAAAGUGGUACGCGAGCUGGGUUUAGAACGUCGUGAGACAGUUCGGUCCCUAUCUGCCGUGGGCGCUGGAGAAUUGAGGGGGGCUGCUCCUAGUACGAGAGGACCGGAGUGGACGCAUCACUGGUGUUCGGGUUGUCAUGCCAAUGGCACUGCCCGGUAGCUAAAUGCGGAAGAGAUAAGUGCUGAAAGCAUCUAAGCACGAAACUUGCCCCGAGAUGAGUUCU
rnacentral:rRNA from 1 species